rnacentral:rRNA from 1 species
AGAGUUUGAUCCUGGCUCAGAACGAACGCUGGCGGCAGGCUUAACACAUGCAAGUCGAACGCGAACGUACCUUCGGGUACUAGUAGAGUGGCAGACGGGUGAGUAACGCGUGGGAACCUACCUAGGGGUACGGAAUAACGCAGGGAAACUUGUGCUAAUACCGUAUACGUCCUUCGGGAGAAAGAUUUAUCGCCCCUAGAUGGGCCCGCGUUGGAUUAGCUUGUUGGUGAGGUAAUGGCUCACCAAGGCUACGAUCCAUAGCUGGUCUGAGAGGAUGAUCAGCCACACUGGGACUGAGACACGGCCCAGACUCCUACGGGAGGCAGCAGUGGGGAAUCUUGCACAAUGGGCGAAAGCCUGAUGCAGCCAUGCCGCGUGAGUGAUGAAGGCCCUAGGGUUGUAAAACUCUUUCAGUGGGGAAGAUAAUGACGGUACCCACAGAAGAAGCUCCGGCUAACUCCGUGCCAGCAGCCGCGGUAAUACGGAGGGAGCUAGCGUUGUUCGGAAUUACUGGGCGUAAAGCGCACGUAGGCGGACUGAUCAGUUGGGGGUGAAAGCCCAGGGCUCAACCCUGGAACUGCCUUCAAUACUGUCAGUCUUGAGUCCGAGAGAGGUGAGUGGAAUUUCCAGUGUAGAGGUGAAAUUCGUAGAUAUUGGAAAGAACACCAGUGGCGAAGGCGGCUCACUGGCUCGGUACUGACGCUGAGGUGCGAAAGUGUGGGGAGCAAACAGGAUUAGAUACCCUGGUAGUCCACACCGUAAACGAUGGAUGCUAGUUGUCGGGCAGCAUGCUGUUCGGUGACGCAGCUAACGCAUUAAGCAUCCCGCCUGGGGAGUACGGUCGCAAGAUUAAAACUCAAAGGAAUUGACG